UUACUUAAGAGUUUGAUCCUGGCUCAGGAUGAACGCUGGCGGCGUGCCUAACACAUGCAAGUCGAGCGAGAAGCUGAUGUGCGAAGCCUUCGGGCCAAACU
rnacentral:rRNA from 1 species